GAUGAACGCUAGCGGGAGGCUUAAUACAUGCAAGUCGAGGGGUAACGAUGGACUUCGGUUCAGGCGACGACCGGCGCACGGGUGAGUAACGCGUACACGAUCUACCUUUUGGUAAGGGAUAGCCCUGGGAAACUGGGAGUAAUACCUUAUAGUAAUAUUUGUUUUAAAUAUGAAUAUUUAAAGCUCCGGUGCCAAAAGAUGAGUGUGCGUCCUAUUAGCUAGUUGGUAAGGUAACGGCUUACCAAGGCGACGAUAGGUAGGGGGCGUGAGAGCGUGAACCCCCACACGGGUACUGAGACACGGACCCGACUCCUACGGGAGGCAGCAGUAAGGAAUAUUGGACAAUGGGCGCAAGCCUGAUCCAGCUAUCCCGCGUGUAGGAUGACUGCCCUAUGGGUUGUAAACUACUUUUGUAUGGGAAGAAACGCAGACAUUAAUGUUUGUUUGACGGUACCAUAAGAAUAAGCACCGGCUAACUCCG
rnacentral:rRNA from 1 species